AACGAACGCUGGCGGCGUGGAUAAGACAUGCAAGUCGAACGGGAACUUCAGCUGUAGCAAUACAGUUGAAGUUUUAGUGGCGAACGGGUGCGUAACACGUGGGCAAUCUGCCGAGAAGUGGGGGAUAGCUCGCCGAAAGGCGAAUUAAUACCGCAUAUGAUCAGCUAAGACAUCUUAGCGACAUCAAAGCCGGGGCAACCUGGCGCUUUUUGAGGAGUCCGCGGCCUAUCAGCUUGUUGGUGAGGUAACGGCUCACCAAGGCUAUGACGGGUAGCUGGUCUGAGAGGACGACCAGUCACACUGGAACUGAGACACGGUCCAGACACCUACGGGUGGCAGCAGUCGAGAAUUUUUGACAAUGGGGAAACCCUNAUCGAGCGACGCCGCGUGGAGGAUGAAGGUCUUCGGGUUGUAAACUCCUGUCAUUUGAGAACAAGGUGCACCGGUUAACUGCCGGUGCAUUGAUAGUAUCAGAAGAGGAAGAGACGGC
rnacentral:rRNA from 1 species